rnacentral:rRNA from 1 species
CGAGGACGAACGCUGGCGGCGUGCCUAACACAUGCAAGUCGAGCGGGGACAUGCGACGGAUCGGAAGUUUCGGAUGGAAGAGAAGAUGUAUGUUCUAGCGGCGGACGGGUGAGUAACGCGUGAGCAACCUGUCCUUCACAGGGGGAUAACACAGCGAAAGUUGUACUAAUACCGCAUAAGACCACACUGAGACAUCUCAGAGGGGUCAAAGGAGCAAUCCGGUGAAGGGUGGGCUCGCGUCCGAUUAGAUAGUUGGUGAGGUAACGGCCCACCAAGUCGACGAUCGGUAGCCGACCUGAGAGGGUGAUCGGCCACAUUGGGACUGAGACACGGCCCAAACUCCUACGGGAGGCAGCAGUGGGGAAUAUUGGGCAAAUGGGGGAAACCCUGACCCAGCAACGCCGCGUGAGGGAAGAAGGUUUUCGGAUCGUAAACCUCUGUCCUUGGUGAAGAGGAAGAGACGGUAGCCAAGGAGGAAGCCCCGGCCAACUACGUGCCAGCCGCGGC